UCACCGGAGCUUGCUCCACCGAAAGAAAAAGAGUGGCGAACGGGUGAGUAACACGUGGGUAACCUGCCCAUCAGAAGGGGAUAACACUUGGAAACAGGUGCUAAUACCGUAUAACACUAUUUUCCGCAUGGAAGAAAGUUGAAAGGCGCUUUUGCGUCACUGAUGGAUGGACCCGCGGUGCAUUAGCUAGUUGGUGAGGUAACGGCUCACCAAGGCAACGAUGCAUAGCCGACCUGAGAGGGUGAUCGGCCACACUGGGACUGAGACACGGCCCAGACUCCUACGGGAGGCAGCAGUAGGGAAUCUUCGGCAAUGGACGAAAGUCUGACCGAGCAACGCCGCGUGAGUGAAGAAGGUUUUCGGAUCGUAAAACUCUGUUGUUAGAGAAGAACAAGGAUGAGAGUAAAAUGUUCAUCCCUUGACGGUAUCUAACCAGAAAGCCACGGCUAACUACGUGCCAGCAGCCGCGG
rnacentral:rRNA from 1 species